AAGUCGUAACAAGGUAACCGUAGGUGAACCUGCGGUUGGAUCAUUACUAAAUUACUUUGACCUGAGGUUGAGUUCAAAAUUCUUUUGAAAUCCCUCAGUGUCAUAAACAUUUUGUGCAUCUAUUGUGUAUUUGGGUUAUUUCUUUUUUUCUAUUUGGAAAAAACAUUAGUUUUUGAAAAAUUUUGAAAGGAUUUAACCCAACAAUGAAUAUAAACCAUUAUUCUUUUUUUUUUGACUGAAAUAAAUUGAAAAAUUUAUAAACAACUUUUGACAACGGAUCUCUUGGCUCUC
rnacentral:misc_RNA from 1 species